CUAUCUUAUAUUGAUAGUGAAUGCCUGAGGAAGAUAUGCAGGAAUGUCCUUAAAUUCUGAUAGAUGCAACUGUUGGCGGCCGCUGAAGUACUGGUGUUAUGCUUGUGCCUGUAUGAAAUUCUACAAUGCUGAAAACCUCAUGCACUCUAGCUGUGAAUGCAGUUCUACCUGAAGCAAAACUCUUCACUCUAAUUGUUUUCCCAAUCUUUGAAACCAGUUUCAAGAGUCACCAGAAACCUGUAGUUUAAGGCACCAGACACAUUCCUCGGCUGAGCCUUGUAGUACCGAUAUGCUGGACCUAUUCAGUAAAAUAUGCCAUAAAUUAUGAGUGCUUUAUCUGAAUGCAUGGGAUACUUUCUGCAAUGGUAGGAUUUAUUACCCAGAGUUUAGGAGCCAGACCUGGGUUUUGGGGUAUUUUUCUAUGUUGGUGAUCAGUUGAAAUCUCUUUCCUUUGCUGCCAGGUUUGGUUAGUCUGGUCAGGAGUGCAGAUUAUGACAAAGAACAAAGCUAAAAGACCUGAGCCAUUAAGGUUACAGUCUCAAUACCACCAAGUUAAACAACCUAGUUAAAUGCAAGACCAUUGGUUGGAAUGAUAUUGGACAGACAUGUCAUAGGCUUUGAAACAUCAGUAAGAAUUGGGCUCAUUGUUUCAUGUUGGCUACAAUGAAGGCUACCUCUUUUCUUCUCCUCUAAAUAUUAGGUAGAUCAUAAAUAACAGAUAUUAUGGAUUCUAUCUGUAAAUGUGUCUCAGGAGAUCUGUGAUGAACUGGAGUGGAAAAGCCAUUCAGGGCACAGGAGCACUUGGGCUUCCUCUUGAGGCUCAGGUUUGACUACUAGGUUGUGUUCUAUGUCUACAGAUUUCAAUGGCUGAAAUUCAGUUCUCUAAUCACAACUCUCCUUUUAUCUAGAAUAAUUUACAAAGCUUGAGAUAAUGCCUUUGGGAAGAAAUGAUGUGUAGUGGAAGUAUCACUAAGAAUUUAAAUGUGAUUUUUGAGACUUGUAUGGAGAAUACAACAUAUAAACCCACUUGAUGAAUUGUAAGAUCUAUAAAAACAAAUAAAGGCAUAGGACAUUCAAUUUUUCUUCAGUUUCAAGUAUAAUAGAAUCAUACAGCUAAAGAAAACAUCACCAUUCUAUAUUUUUAUUAAAACAUAAACAAACAUG
rnacentral:lncRNA from 1 species